CUUCCUUUUGUUCUGGAGGAGAGCAGGGAGGGUUUGUGAUCCCCCCAGCACAGAGCGCAGGGACCCCAUCCCUGCCUGCUUGUGGCACUGCCUUCAUCCUCCUCCUCCUCCUCCUCCCCCACGUGGCUGCAGCUGGGCCCGAGCUCCCUCACUUCGCAGAAUCUCGGGGCUUGGAAGGGACCUCCUGGGGUCGUCGAGUCCAACCUCCUGCCAAAGCAGCUUCCCUACGCCGGGUCGCUUAGUGCUUAAAUGCGCUAAUUGCCAUCUAAUCGCGCUUUCCCCUGGACGCGGCCCUGCAGCGCUGGCUGAGGGGGGUCUGCAGCCCCACAUCAUGGCAUCUCCCUCCUCCCCCUGCUUGCAGAUCCGCUUUUUGCCUCGCUUGUGCCCUUUUCUCCCCAGUUGUGCUGUGCCACCUUUGCCCGCCCGCAGCUCGCUGUGAGCCCGUCCUGCCUGGGUUGGUGCUGCCGCUUCCCGAAGCUCAGCGGGUGCGCAGGGCAGCAGGGGCAGCUCGGCUGGGUUUAUAUUUGACCCCGUGCAGGAAAACAGAGAGAAAAAUCCGUGUUUUUUCUCUCAUUUUUGGCGCUCGUUUCCUGUAAGGCACCGCGCGGCCGGGCACCGAGCCGUAAUUACACAGCAGGAGGGGGUUUGUUUGUAAAGGAGGGGUGAUUCACGGCGGCUGGAAAGGGUUAACAGCCCAAAAUGACAUGGGUUGAAGGGGAGGACAAUAAACAGGAAGCUGUGCCCAAAGCUGCACUUAUCGCGGUGACUCAGGUCGGCGCCCGGCUUCGUUACCGGCGGCUUAAUUACACCGUUGGUUUGGAAACGGUGCCGGGGCUCGAGUGGCUGGAGGGAGGAGGGCUGGGGUUGGUGGGCAGCCUUGGGUUGGGUCGCGUGGCUGAACUGGGAGCUCCUUCCUGCAGGAAGGGGAGCCUGGGGCGGUGGGAGCAGCCCCGGAUUUGGGUACGGAGUGAGAACUGGGGCGGCUCUCGUGGGAUCCGGCACAGCAGCGGGGUGCGAUGCUGAUGGGCUGAGGCUUGGCCUUGUCACAGGACUGACUUCUUUGGGCUGUGCCGGAGAUGCUGGAUGAGGUGUUUGAUGCUGGAUGAGGUGUUUGAAUGGAGCAUCGCCUCCACGGCUCAAUCAAACACCCCGGGGGCAGCAGCUGGAGGAUCCCUGCAUUUCCUUUUGCUUGUCAGUAGAAUAAAAACCCGGUUAUUCUCAGGGUGGCCGCUUGUCUGUAAGGACCUGACAGGGCUGCCCUGCCGUGCCGGGUGAUUCCUGGGAGCGCUCCUUACCUCUGAGCUGACUCACACUGUGGGAUCCGUGUGGGUAACCCAGAUUUCAGCAGGGAUCUGAGGGCUGUGGUGCUGGCAGGAUCCCGUUCAAGAUCGGGCAGCCCAAGAAACAGAUUGUACCCAAGACAGUGGAGAGAGACUUUGAGAGGGAAUAUGGGAAGCUGCAGCAAUUGGAAGAGCAGACCAAAAAACUUCAGAAGGAUAUGAAGAAAAGCACAGAUGCAGAUUUGGCCAUGUCCAAAGCAGCGGUGAAGAUCUCCUCAGACCUGCUGGCCAACCCGCUGUGUGAGCAGGACGCCGCCUUCCUGGAGAUGGUCACCGCCU